rnacentral:tRNA from 1 species
GGUGGGUAUAGCUUAAAGGUAAAGCGCAGGUUUGUGGUACCUUAGAUGUGGGUUCAAUUCCCACUAUUCACC